UCCCUCAUUGCCCUAGUGGCCUAGUCCAUAUGGAAGCAUCGCAACGCCGCGGUAUUCGACAACGCCCAACCUUCAAGUGAUGUUUUGCAGCGCACCAUCCGCGACGAGGCUCGGCUUUGGGCUUGCGCCGGUGCCAAAGGCUUACAGUUAAUUGUCCCCGUAAUGUAA
rnacentral:rRNA from 1 species